UACGUAGGGCGCAAGCGUUGUCCGGAAUUAUUGGGCGUAAAGAGCUCGUAGGCGGUCUGUCGCGUCGGCUGUGAAAGCCCGGGGCUCAACCCCGGGUCUGCAGUCGAUACGGGCAGGCUAGAGUGCGGUAGGGGAGACUGGAAUUCCUGGUGUAGCGGUGAAAUGCGCAGAUAUCAGGAGGAACACCGGUGGCGAAGGCGGGUCUCUGGGCCGUAACUGACGCUGAGGAGCGAAAGCGUGGGUAGCAAACAGG
rnacentral:rRNA from 1 species